UACAGAGGUCUCAAGCGUUGUUCGGAUUCAUUGGGCGUAAAGCGCGUGUAGGCGGUCCGGUAAGUCCGCUGUGAAAGUCGGGGGCUCAACCCUCGGAUGCCGGUGGAUACUGUCGGGCUUGAGUACGGAAGAGGCGAGUGGAAUUCCCGGUGUAGCGGUGAAAUGCGCAGAUAUCGGGAGGAACACCAAUGGCGAAGGCAGCUCGCUGGGACGUUACUGACGCUGAGACGCGAAAGCGUGGGGAGCAAACAGG
rnacentral:rRNA from 1 species